UGAUUGAUUUUGAAAAUUAGAAAGAGACAAAUUGAAUAAGAACAAAUUGACUAAAAUAAUAGGGUAAGCUCAAAUACCCCAUCGUGGUUUCACACUUUCCCACUUUAGUACUCUGUGAUUUAAAUUGUAUCAAGUCAGCCCCUGUGGUUUCGCACUUUCUAACAUUAGUACCCUAUGAUUUCAUUUUUUUUUUAUUAUCCAUUUCACUAAUUUUUUUUCGUUAAAUCAGUGACAAAGUUAACAUUAAAGGGUACUAAAGUGAAUAUUCGAUAAACCUAGGUAGGGUAUUUGAAGUUUUUUGUAUAUAAUUUAAUGAAAUAUUAACAGAGGAAAAAAAAUCAGUGACAAAGUUAAAACUAAAGGAUACUAAAGUAAAUAUUCGAUAAACUUAGAUAGGGUAUCUGAAGUUUGUUGUAUAUAAUUUAACAAAAUAUUAACAGAGGAACCGACGAAUAGAGAAAAAUAAAACCACAAGAUACUAAAUUGAUGCACAUUAAACCACAGGGUACUAAAGUGAGAAAGUGCGAAACUACAGGGUCCUAAAUUGAUAUACUUUAAACCACAUGGUACUUAAGUGAAAAAGUGCGAAACCAGGGGCGGUAUUUGAAGUUUU
rnacentral:lncRNA from 1 species